rnacentral:tRNA from 1 species
UUAAUUGAAACCAAAUAGAGGUAUAUCACUGUUAAUGAUAAAACUGGAACCAAUCCCAAUUAAA